rnacentral:rRNA from 1 species
AGAGUUUGAUCAUGGCUCAGGAUGAACGCUAGCGGGAGGCCUAACACAUGCAAGUCGAACGGGAUCCAUGAGCAAUCGUGGUGAGAGUGGCGCACGGGUGAGUAACGCGUAUGCAAUUGCCUUUAACUGAGGGAUAGCCCAUAGAAAUGUGGAUUAAUACCUCAUAGUUCUGUUAGACCGCAUGGUUUGAUAGAUAAAGCUCCGGCGGUUAAAGAUGGGCAUGCGUGACAUUAGCUAGUUGGUAAGGUAACGGCUUACCAAGGCUACGAUGUCUAGGGGUUCUGAGAGGAUGAUCCCCCACACUGGUACUGAGACACGGACCAGACUCCUACGGGAGGCAGCAGUGAGGAAUAUUGGUCAAUGGGCGCAAGCCUGAACCAGCCAUCCCGCGUGCAGGAUGACGGCCCUAUGGGUUGUAAACUGCUUUUAUACACCAAGAAAAACACCCACGUGUGGGUGCCCGACGGUAGUGUAUGAAUAAGCAUCGGCUAACUCCGUGCCAGCAGCCGCGGUAAUACGGAGGAUGCGAGCGUUAUCCGGAUUCAUUGGGUUUAAAGGGUGCGUAGGCGGCCUUUUAAGUCAGUGGUGAAAUCUUGCCGCUUAACGGUAAAAUUGCCAUUGAUACUGAAAGGCUUGAGUACAGUUGAGGUAAGCGGAAUGUGUAGUGUAGCGGUGAAAUGCUUAGAUAUUACACAGAACACCAAUUGCGAAGGCAGCUUACUAAACUGUUACUGACGCUGAUGCACGAAAGCGUGGGGAGCGAACAGGAUUAGAUACCCUGGUAGUCCACGCCGUAAACGAUGCUCACUCGCUGUUUGCGAUACACAGCAAGCGGCCAAGCGAAAGCAUUAAGUGAGCCACCUGGGGAGUACGAUCGCAAGGUUGAAACUCAAAGGAAUUGACGG